rnacentral:rRNA from 1 species
UACGAAGGGGGCUAGCGUUGCUCGGAAUCACUGGGCGUAAAGCGCACGUAGGCGGGUCUUUAAGUCAGGGGUGAAAUCCUGGAGCUCAACUCCAGAACUGCCUUUGAUACUGGAGAGCUUGAGUCCGGAAGAGGUGAGUGGAACUCCGAGUGUAGAGGUGAAAUUCGUAGAUAUUCGGAAGAACACCAGUGGCGAAGGCGGCUCACUGGUCCGGUACUGACGCUGAGGUGCGAAAGCGUGGGGAGCAAACAGGG